AUACGUAGGUGGCAAGCGUUAUCCGGAAUUAUUGGGCGUAAAGAGUGAGCAGGCGGUUAAUUAAGUCUGAGGUUAAAGCGUGGGGCUCAACCCCCUAAAGCCUUGGAAACUGUUUGACUAGCGUACGGGAGAAGUGAAGGGAACUCCAUGUGUAGCGGUGAAAUGCGUAGAUAUAUGGAAGAACACCAGUGGCGAAGGCGCUUCACUAGCCCGAAACUGACGCUCAGUCACGAAAGCGUGGGUAGCAAAUAGGAUUAGAUACCCUAGUAGUCCACGCUGUAAACGAUGACAACUAAAUAUUGCCGCGAGGCAGUGUUGAAGCUAACGCAUUAAGUUGUCCGCCUGGGGAGUACGGUCGCAAGACUGAAACUUAAAGGAAUUGACGGGG
rnacentral:rRNA from 1 species